rnacentral:tRNA from 1 species
AAUAAAGUGCCUGAUUAAAGGGUUACUUUGAUAGAGUAAAUAAUGUAUUUUUUACCUUUAUUA